rnacentral:rRNA from 1 species
UACGAAGGGGGCUAGCGUUGCUCGGAAUCACUGGGCGUAAAGGGUGCGUAGGCGGGUCUUUAAGUCAGGGGUGAAAUCCUGGAGCUCAACUCCAGAACUGCCUUUGAUACUGGCGAUCUCGAGUCCGGGAGAGGUGAGUGGAACUGCGAGUGUAGAGGUGAAAUUCGUAGAUAUUCGCAAGAACACCAGUGGCGAAGGCGGCUCACUGGCCCGGUACUGACGCCGAGGUCGCGAAAGCGUGGGGAGCAAACAGG